GAGGGGACAAAACCAUCCCCAGCACAGUCAGCCACCUUUGCAGCCUGAUCAGCCAAAUUACUGCCAGGUACAUGCAGAGCUGUUCCCUUUGGAUGUCCUUUUACAUGGACCACAGCUGUCUCACUGGGCCCUUUUAGAGCCUCUAGUACCCAGGUCCUCUCUUACCUUGGCUGCACUGUGAUUCCAUCUCUGCAGUCCUGUUCCAGCUGAGAUCCCUCCUCUGCAUGUCCAUACAAAAGCUGGGCCAGGUUUGAGUUAUUGGUUACCCUGAUGCUGAUUCUCUGCUAUUUAACAGCAUGGCCUCGAGUUUCAAGGUUCUAGCAUGGGUCAGCCACUUUUCAGCUCUCUGGUUCAAUGCACUCCUCUCAUUAUGGGCAGUACAAACCUUCAGUACUGCUCCAGAUGUUCUG